UCGAGAGCCAGAAUGAGACGUUUGCCGUGUCUGCAAGAGAAGCCCAGACGAAGUUCCUGAAUAAAAGGU
rnacentral:tRNA from 1 species